ACGCUCGACACCUACGGACAGCAGUCGGGAAUAUUGCGCAAUGGAGGAAACUCUGACGCAGUGACGCCGCGUGCAGGAAGAAGGUUUUCGGAUUGUAAACUGCUUUAGACAGGGAAGAACAAAUGACAGUACCUGUAGAAUAAGCUCCGGCUAACUACGUGCCAACAGCCGCCGGUAAGUACUGAGCGGGCUGGCAAGGACG
rnacentral:rRNA from 1 species